UACGAAGGGGGCUAGCGUUGUUCGGAUUUACUGGGCGUAAAGCGCGUGUAGGCGGAUCGUUAAGUCGGGGGUGAAAGCCCAGAGCUCAACUCUGGAAUUGCCUUCGAUACUGGCGGUCUGGAGCAGAGAAGAGGCGAGUGGAAUUCCGAGUGUAGAGGUGAAAUUCGUAGAGAUUCGGAGGAACACCAGUGGCGAAGGCGGCUCGCUGGUCUCUUGCUGACGAUGAGACGCGAAAGAGUGGGGAGCAAACAGG
rnacentral:rRNA from 1 species